rnacentral:rRNA from 1 species
CAGCAGCCGCGGGAAUACGGAAGGUCCGGGCGUUAUCCGGAUUUAUUGGGUUUAAAGGGAGUGUAGGCGGUCUGUUAAGCGUGUUGUGAAAUUUAGGUGCUCAACAUUUAACUUGCAGCGCGAACUGGCGGACUUGAGUGCACGCAACGUAUGCGGAAUUCAUGGUGUAGCGGUGAAAUGCUUAGAUAUCAUGACGAACUCCGAUUGCGAAGGCAGCGUACGGGAGUGUUACUGACGCUUAAGCUCGAAGGUGCGGGUAUCGAACAGGAUUAGAUACCCCUGUAGUCCCUGUCUCUUAUAC